CUAUUGCUGCUGCCGCUGGGUCUAGGGUGGGCGGCCGGCCUCGCGGUCCGGCGGUCGCCUGAUCCUCACAGAAGCUGUCGGAGCUAGGCUGGCCAGUUCGGUAGACCCUAGGCACGGUGGCUGCCGAGCAUUGAAACGUAGGUAAUCUGAACUGAGAUGGGCUGUUAAGUGUGAAGAACACACUGGCUUUUAUGGGCUCAGUAAGUUAAAAUAAUGUGAAAUAUUUCAUUACUGAUUCUUAAAUAUUGAUGGUCUAUCAAAAUAAUAGUGUUUUGGAUACAUUGUGUUAAAUGACUUGUUUUGAAAUUAGAAAAUGUAAAAUUACAUACUUGGUUUCCAUUUGCUGCUCACUUACGCAUAUUUUUGUUGACUACCACCGGCUUCUGGUAAGCAUUAUUACUACCCCAAUUUCAUAGCUCCGAAAGCGAGGUUGAAAGACCUGACCAGCCACAAAGCUAGGAAGGGAAGGAAUCUAAAGCCUUUGUAUAAAUAAAAAGCCCAGGUGAGUUUUAAAGGCUUGGGUGGGCUGUGGUAAGGACCUGACUUAAUUAUUCACAAAGAUGGCCCUGCACGGUGGACUAGGUAACAGGGGCUUGGGGACUGCCUUUGGUUCCCAGCACAUUCCAACUAUAUAAUGAUGAUAAUUACAGGUGCCUUGGAGCUGGCUUUGUGGUAGGAGAUGAGAAGCCAUAUAUGAAAGCACAUUGAGUUUAUGGAGUAAAAAUGCCUUGGUAAAACCCAAGGUGAUGGGCUGGGCGCGGUGGCUCACGCCUGUAAUCCCAGCACUUUGGGAGGCUUAGGCGGGUGGAUCACGAGGUCAGGAGAUCGAGACCAUCCUGGCUAACACGGUGAAACCCCGUCUCUACUAAAAAUACAAAAAAAUUAGCCGAGCCUGGUGGCAGGCAUCUAUAGUCCCAGCUACUCGGGAGGCUGAGGCAGGAGAAUGGCGUGAACCCGGGAGGCGGAGCUUGCAGUGAGCCGAGAUGGCGCCACUGCACUCCAGCCCAGGCGACAGAGCCAGACUGCGUCUCAAUAAAAAACAACAACAAAAAACCCAA